rnacentral:rRNA from 1 species
CCUACGGGAGGCAGCAGUAAGGAAUAUUGGACAAUGGGCGCAAGCCUGAUCCAGCCAUGCCGCGUGAAGGAUUAAGGUCCUCUGGAUUGUAAACUUCUUUUAUAGGGGACGAAAAAAGGGCAUUCUUGCUCACUUGACGGUACCCUAUGAAUAAGCACCGGCUAACUCCGUGCCAGCAGCCGCGGUAAUACGGAGGGUGCAAGCGUUAUCCGGAUUCACUGGGUUUAAAGGGUGCGUAGGCGGGCAUGUAAGUCAGUGGUGAAAUCCUAGAGCUUAACUCUAGAACUGCCAUUGAUACUAUCUGUCUUGAAUAUUGUGGAGGUAAGCGGAAUAUGUCAUGUAGCGGUGAAAUGCUUAGAUAUGACAUAGAACACCUAUUGCGAAGGCAGCUUACUACGCAUAUAUUGACGCUGAGGCACGAAAGCGUGGGGAUCAAACAGGAUUAGAUACCCUGGUAGUCCACGCCCUAAACGAUGGAUACUCGACAUACGCGAUACACUGUGUGUGUCUGAGCGAAAGCAUUAAGUAUCCCACCUGGGAAGUACGUCCGCAAGGAUGAAACUCAAAUGAAUUGACGG